rnacentral:rRNA from 1 species
UACGGGGGGGGCAAGCGUUGUUCGGAAUUACUGGGCGUAAAGGGCUCGUAGGCGGCCAACUAAGUCGGACGUGAAAUCCCCAGGCUCAACCUGGGAACUGCGUCCGAUACUGGAUGGCUUGAAUCCGGGAGAGGGAUGCAGAAUUCCAGGUGUAGCGGUGAAAUGCGUAGAUAUCGAGAGGAACACCUGCGGCGAAGGCGGGUUGCUGGGCUGACACUGACGCUGAGGCGCGAAAGCUAGGGGAGCGAACGGG